rnacentral:piRNA from 1 species
UGCUCUAUUUGCUGUGAUGGCAAGGAAGAA